GGAAUUUCUCACGGAGGACAUGCUGCUUAAGAAAACAGAUGUUUCAGCCCUGGGAGGCAUUAUUUAAGUUUAAUGUGCUUUGCUUAAAGAAUCAAGUAAAAUCUGAACACCUUGUUUUGACACAGUUGUUCAACCAGUAGACCAAAGGAAGUACUAUACCCAAGGGAAAAUUUCAUAAGAUGGCAUGCCUUACUUUAAAAUGGAACUUCCAUGAAGAAAGUCCAGGAGAAGGCUUGAUGAUCUGUGUUUCACUUUGUCCCUUUCAAGGUCUGGCAGUCCCUGUGAUCUGGGCAUCAUCUCCUGCUACUUUCCAAGGCCCCCAACUCUUCUUUCUCCAAUAGCCUCACCACUCACCAUUCCUCAUUUGAAAUUGUUUCAGAUCUCUUCAUCAUUCUAAUUGGACUUUGUAGCAUAUUUAAUUUUUCUAUACACUUUUUACAAUAAAAUGAAUUUAAAGAAAUAUUUUUUAAUACUGUGUUAUGUGGCCUGGCUAGUACGAAUUUAUUCACUAUUAUUUGUAUCUUCUCUUGUGCAAACCAUCUUUGCCAAUUUAGCUAUUUGGAUCUUUGUAUUUUGAUAAAUAUUAAGGUUCAUUAAGGGGGAAGGGUAUAGCUCAGUGGUAGAGUGCAUG